GCGGACAUAGCUCAGUUGGGAGAGCGUCAGACUGAAGCGGGUCACUCGAAAGAGGGCUUGGAAAACUUCAUUCAAUCAAUCUGAAGGUCGUGUGUUCAAUCCACACUGGCCGCA